GUGUCAGCCGCCGCGGUAAGACGGAGGAGGCAAGCGUUAUCCGGAAUUAUUGGGCGUAAAGGGUCCGCAGGUGGCUCGCUCAAGUCUGCUGUCAAAGACCGGGGCUUAACUCCGGAAAGGCAGUGGAAACUGACAAGCUAGAGGGCUCUAGGGGUAGAGGGAAUUCCCGGUGUAGCGGUGAAAUGCGUAGAGAUCGGGAAGAACAUCGGUGGCGAAAGCGCUCUACUGGAGAGCAACUGACACUCAGGGACGAAAGCUAGGGGAGCGAAUGGGAUGAGAUACCCCAGUAGUCCUAGCCGUAAACGAUGGAUACUAGGCGUGGCUCGUAUCGACCCGAGCCGUGCCGUAGCUAACGCGUUAAGUAUCCCGCCUGGGGAGUACGCACGCAAGUGUGAAACUCAAAGGAAUUGACGGGG
rnacentral:rRNA from 1 species